rnacentral:rRNA from 1 species
UACGUAGGGUGCGAGCGUUAAUCGGAAUUACUGGGCGUAAAGCGUGCGCAGGCGGACUUUUAAGCCAGAUGUGAAAGCCCCGAGCUUAACUUGGGAACCGCGUUUGGAACUGAAAGUCUAGAGUCUGUCAGAGGGGGAUGGAAUUCCACGUGUAGCAGUGAAAUGCGUAGAGAUGUGGAGGAACACCGAUGGCGAAGGCAGCCCCCUCGGUCGGAUACUGACGCUCAUGCACGAGAGCGUGGGUA